rnacentral:rRNA from 1 species
AUUGAACGCUGGCGGCAGGCCUAACACAUGCAAGUCGAGCGGAUGAGGGGAGCUUGCUCCCUGAUUUAGCGGCGGACGGGUGAGUAAUGCCUAGGAAUCUGCCUGGUAGUGGGGGAUAACGUUCCGAAAGGAACGCUAAUACCGCAUACGUCCUACGGGAGAAAGCAGGGGACCUUCGGGCCUUGCGCUAUCAGAUGAGCCUAGGUCGGAUUAGCUAGUUGGUGAGGUAAUGGCUCACCAAGGCGACGAUCCGUAACUGGUCUGAGAGGAUGAUCAGUCACACUGGAACUGAGACACGGUCAAGACUCCUACGGGAGGCAGCAGUGGGGAAUAUUGGACAAUGGGCGAAAGCCUGAUCCAGCCAUGCCGCGUGUGUGAAGAAGGUCUUCGGAUUGUAAAGCACUUUAAGUUGGGAGGAAGGGCUGCUGGUUAAUACCCUGCAGUUUUGACGUUACCAACAGAAUAAGCACCGGCUAACUUCGUG